rnacentral:rRNA from 1 species
UGAGCAAUCUGCCCUUCUCAUCGGAAUAAGCGUUGGAAACGACGUCUAAUGCCGAAUACGACCUCCUUUCGCAUGAUCGGAGGUGGAAAGCUCCGGCGGAGAAGGAUGAGCUCGCGGCCUAUCAGCUAGUUGGUGUGGGUAAUGGCCCACCAAGACGACGACGGGUAGCCGGCCUGAGAGGGUCGACCCGGCCACACGUGGGACUGAGACCACGGCCCAGCUCCGUAGGG